rnacentral:ncRNA from 1 species
UAUGAUAAAGGGCAAAAUUAGAGUAAUCUAAUGACGCAAAGCUAAAGGGUCCUACGGGAUAGCCAGUUGCAAGU